rnacentral:rRNA from 1 species
CAUCGCCGGGUAGCUAAGUUCGGAAGAGAUAAACGCUGAAAGCAUCUAAGCGUGAAACUCGCCUGAAGAUGAGACUUCCCCAGGGAUUUAAUCCCUCUGAAGAGACGUUCGAGACCAGGACGUUGAUAGGUCGGGUGUGGAAGAGUGGUAACACUUGGAGCUAACCGAUACUAAUUGCUCGUGAGGCUUGACUCUAU